AUUGAACGCUGGCGGCAGGCCUAACACAUGCAAGUCGAACGAGUGGCGGACGGGUGAGUAAUGUCUGUGAAACUGCCUGAUGGAGGGGGAUAACUACUGGAAACGGUAGCUAAUACCGCAUACCAUCGGAUGUGCCCAGAUGGGAUUAGCGAGUAGGUGGGGUAAAGGGUGACCUAGGCGACGAUCCCUAGCUGGUCUGCGAGGAUGACCAGCGACACUGGAACGGAGACACGGUCCAGACUCCUACGGGGGGCAGGAGUGGGGAAUAUUGCGAAAUGGGCGCAAGCCGGAUGCAGCCAUGCCGCGUGUAUGAAGAAGGCCUUGGGGUUGUAAAGUACUUUCAGCGGUGAGGCGGUACCCGCAGAAGAAGCACCGGCUAACUCCGUGCCAGCCGCCGCGGUAAUAC
rnacentral:rRNA from 1 species